UACAGAGGGUGCAAGCGUUGUUCGGAAUUAUUGGGCGUAAAGCGCGUGUAGGCGGCUUUGCAAGUCGGGUGUGAAAGCCCUCAGCUCAACUGAGGAAGUGCGCCCGAAACUGCAGAGCUUGAGUGCCGGAGAGGGUGGCGGAAUUCCCCAAGUAGAGGUGAAAUUCGUAGAUAUCGGGAGGAACACCAGUGGCGAAGGCGGUUGCCUGGAGCUUUGCUGACGCUGAUGCGCGAAAGCGUGGGGAGCGAUCCGG
rnacentral:rRNA from 1 species